ACCCCACCCAGCCCCGCCGCUCUCCUCUCUGUCUUCCCCUUUCACCCAACCCCGCCGCCGAUCUCCUCUUCCCCAGCCCCUCGCCGGCGACCUCCUCCCCACCAGCCACCCCGGCGUCCUCCUUCUCUCCUUCUUUCCAGCAGCUCCGCCGGCGACCCCCAACCACAACCCCGCCGCUGCCCCAACCCCAACCCCAUCGCCGGCGGCCUCCUCUCCCUCCAGCGCCGCCGGCCAUCAGGCCAUGGCCUCCCCGCUCUCUCCCGGCCCGUCCCCAAGAGCCGCUGCUGCCGCCGCCCCCACCCUCUCACCUCCCUCACGAGAAGAGAAGAGAUGGCAAGAUGGGGAUCGAGGGAGCGCCCGCAGCUGCAGGCACCAGAUCCGCCUUGGACCAGGAGCUCCAUCCCCAGUUGCCCACUCAAAAUCGCGAGCGGCCAUGCGUGAGUGAGGAGGCGGCCGCCAGAUCGAGGGAUUCGCUCCGUCAUCUCGCGCGCCAGGAGAGGAACCCCCAUCUGCUCCUGCUCCUGCUCGGCCGCCUCGCGCGCGCCAUGGGGAUCUGCUUCUGCUCGCUCCGGACGCCACUGCGCCGACCCAACCCUAGUGCUCCUCCUCCAGGUCAAGGUCAAGGUACCUCUGCUAAUUGAAGCCUGAUGCUCCUCUCCUCUCCUCCCCUCUCCUCUCAUGGAUGAUGGACCAGACCUCUGCCUGGUACUCAUCGUCCCCGCGCCUCUGUUUCUGGGCUGGGUAAGCCCCUCCCCCUCCGCUCUGCUCUCACUCUCAUGUGCCACGGCCAUCUGUAUGCACACACUUCAAGUAGGCAAGCAAGCAGCUACCAAAAAACUGAAAAUAAAGCUCCUUGCAGCAGUGGUUUACCAAAAUGAAAACCAUAAUAACAUAAAAUUACAAACAUCAAGCUGUCCAUGAUUAGACACUCAUUUACAGUACCUGAGUGUUGCCGCAGAUCCGUACGCCGAUCACUUUCCGGCGUACUUUGUAUGGUGCGAUUCCGGCGACCAGUGCUUUCGGCCGUCGGCAACAUGUAUUCAUACGUAGCUUGGUUCCGUAGAGACACGCAAGUGUGCAAGGCGAAAGCAUCUGGAUCGAUUCCUCCUUGAAGCUGACUCACGUAUAAUAGCAGUCAAUCGCCUCGCCGACUGGACGUGCACGCACGUAUACUAAUACGAGCUCUUGGCUGUUUGAGUCUAUUCUGCAGCAGACGCUCCUGAGACAGUCUACUGGACUAAGCUACAGGAUACAUAAGCAUGCAGGUCAUAAACGGAUAGCAUACAUUAUCUAGUUUGAUUGAUUGAUGAUGCACUUAAUUUCGCUGAAGUUUGAGGGAGUAGUUGUUGUACUGCAGGUGCUGCUGCAGUAGAAGGAUUGCAAUUUUCUCCGUGAUUCUUUCUUGUCAGUGCCGAGCAACAGUUUCAUCUUUACUUUUCAGUCAUACUCAUGCGUGCUCCGUUCAUGUGCAUAUGUUUACUUUGUGGUGACUGACAGGGAGCGCACCUUUGGUUACCAAUCACUGCACAACCAGUGUGUGCAUUAUUUGAGGGCCCCAAAACUCCUUCUAUGUGAAAUAUUGUCUCUUAGGUACCAAUUUCAAACAUAUAUUGUUGACCAGGUUGAAAUUCCUUCUGGUAGAGGUAGACCACCAGUUUUUGUUGGCAAGGAUGAGAGUCUUGCAAAGGCACCUGAGCUAUUUACAGAAGGAGAGGACCUGGCCUUCUUCUUUAUGUCUCGCGGAAGUGUCUUCCUUUGAUUCAUUCGUGCAACAAGGAAGGGACCCGGCCUUCUUCGUCUCGUGCAACAACCUGGUGGGCGUCAUGCUCUUCAACCACUCAGAGGUGGACUUCGCCGUGAAGCCCGGCGACCGCGCCGCACGGAUGAUCAUCCAUGUGAUUCCGACACCGGAUGUCGCCGAGGUGGAGGACCUUGAUGCCAUCGUUCGGGGUGAGGGAGGAUUCGGGUUCGCCGGCGUCUGAACUCCGAGCCUUGGUAGAUACAUGUAGAGAAGUGGUCUGUUUAGGCUGGUGGUGAAACACUAGGGAAGGUACCCACCUUUGGUUGUGUGCGUUUAAUUCAUUUUGCACUGGACGCGUCCCUGAUUUCUAUCUAUGAAUAAUGCAUGUAAUAUUUUUUAA